rnacentral:rRNA from 1 species
GUGUUCUCUUCGGAGACGGUAUGACAGGUGCUGCAUGGCUGUCGUCAGCUCGUGCCGUGAGGUGUUGGUUAAGUCCCGCAACGAGCGCAACCCCUAUCUUUAGUUGCCAUCAGUUCGGCUGGGCACUCUAUGGAGACUGCCACCUAAAGUGGAGGAAGGUGGGGAUGACGUCAAGUCAGCAUGGCCCUUACGUCCGGGCUACACACGUGCUACAAUGGCCGGUACAAAGGGUUGCGAUACCGCGAGGUGGAGCCAAUCCCAAAAAGUGCGUCCCAGUCCGGAUUGCAGUCUGCAACUCGACUGCAUGAAGUUGGAAUCGCUAGUAAUUCGAGAUCAGCAUGCUCGGGUGAAUGCGUUCCCGGGCCUU